rnacentral:rRNA from 1 species
AUGCGUGAUCAGGUUGGCAUCGACCUGGACGGCUUCCCCCUCGACCAUGAGUUUCCGGACGACUAUGGGCUAGAGGAAGAGGACGAGUGCAACAUCGAAGUGGAGCUUUUGUUCGAGGACGAGUUUGUCAACCAAGCCGCCGGUCCUAAGCCGAAGCGCAAGAGCAAGUGCACGAAGGCGUACACAGCUGCCGAGGACAAGCUUCUUUGCGAGUGUUGGCGAGACAUUGGACAAGACCCAAAGACGGGCGCCGAGAAAAAGCAUUCGACCUUUUGGACUCGUGUGCACCGCGAGUUUCAUGAGCGCAAGAAGUUUCCACCUUACCAAUUUGUGAGCAUGCGCGGGUGGGUCUCAAUUUCCAAGCGGUAG